UGGGGAAUUUUGGACAAUGGGGGCAACCCUGAUCCAGCCAUCCCGCGUGUGCGAUGAAGGCCUUCGGGUUGUAAAGCACUUUUGGCAGGGAAGAAACGGCGCGGGCUAAUAACCUGUGCUAAUGACGGUACCUGCAGAAUAAGCACCGGCUAACUACGUGCCAGCAGCCGCGGUAAUACGUAGGGUGCAAGCGUUAAUCGGAAUUACUGGGCGUAAAGCGUGCGCAGGCGGUUCGGAAAGAAAGGUGUGAAAUCCCCGGGCUUAACCUGGGAACUGCAUUCGUGACUGCAAGGCUAGAGUAUGGCAGAGGGGGGUAGAAUUCCACGUGUAGCAGUGAAAUGCGUAGAGAUGUGGAGGAAUACCGAUGGCGAAGGCAGCCCCCUGGGCCAAUACUGACGCUCAUGCACGAAAGCGUGGGGAGCAAACA
rnacentral:rRNA from 1 species